GAAAGCCAAUCCAUUCCCGCUUUACAGUGUGAGCUUAGGGUUUCGACAUCAUGGCUUCCCUCUGCUCCAAUCUUCACACUCCAUUCUCCUUUCUGGUUCUUCCCCGCCAACAUAAGGUUCCCACUUGCUUUUUCAUCAACAGCAGGGUAAAAUUCAAUCUGAAUAAGGUGUCAACGAAAACAAUAACUUG